AGGGUUUAAAGCGCUCGAUUUAGGAUUUAAUGAUAUCUCGAAUGAUGUUUUGGCGCAUCUGAAAGGAAUCAAGAGUUUCAAAUUUGUUAGGCAAAAAAUAAAAAUCAACAUUUGACCGGUUUUGCUUUUAAAUUUCACAAGUCGUUUUUGGAGAAACGUUUCCAAAACGAUGAUCAUGUAUACAAGUCGUUUUUGGACAUGUUGAACAUGUAUUGGAAAGAACAAAAGGGCAUCAAUGAAGUUUACCAUGAAGUUGCUGCACUUUUUGACGAUCAACCCGAUCUUCUCGACGAAUUCACAAAGUUUAUGCCAGAUGCAUCUGCUGCCGCAUCCGCGCAUAAUGUGUGACAAUCCGAACUUUACAGGCCGUGCUUGAUCAAUUGAUAACAAAGUAACUAAUCUUACCGAGCAACCCCAGGUCGUUAACGUUUGGAACAUGGACUUGCUAUCUGGGAGUGCUGGAGUGGUCAUGGAUCGAGACGCUUGGAUUCACUUAUAAACGAUGCAUUGAUUUUGAUUAUUAUUAUGAAACGAUUACAUGCUUCCGCUACACAACUUUUGAGAAUUGAUAUCAUGUAGACAUCUUAUUUGGUAAUUAAUGUCAUGACUUAUCUAA